ensembl:lncRNA
CCUUCUCCUUUGCGUGCUUUAGGCGGUCCAGGCACCUUUUACCGUGACCCCCUUGCCGACUGGCCGGCAGGCCUGGUUCGCCGCUCCCGUGAGCCCUGCGGAAGCGUUAAGGGACCGCGUGCUGAAGCCUUGACGUUUUCCACGUGACGGUGCCAUCCGGGCAGCCUUUAGCAACGGCCGAGGGGUUGCCGCGUGCCCCGCGAUGAUGGCAUCUGGCUCCGGGCGAGGCCGAAGCGUGCGGCCCUGGGAUGCGGGCGUUCUCGAGAGACCCUCAUCAAGAGACAGCAGCAUGGUGACGGCAGGAACUGGGCAGACGACGAGACGGCAUUCCUUGGCAGCCCGUGUGGACUCUCACCCCCCGGGCGUCCGAGAGCUAACUCAAAGGCUACGAUCCGCAGAGGGGGGAUGGAAGCGGGGUGCCGGGCUGGGACUCGUGGCCAGGAAGUUUUGAGUCAGCUUUGGAUGAAGCGAGGUUCAAGAAGUGGCCCUUUAGGCCACCUCAAGGGAAAGCCUCACUUUGGCUCCCAAUGCCGAGGUGCACAGGGCAGAGCGGUCCGGGGAUGUGUCGGGUCACUUGUCUGUCGUGCCUUUUGUGCACCUCGUGUCGUAUGUGUCUUGCCUUAGCCCUUCCAGGACGUUACAGGAAACCCUGGCGUCACUCUUAACAUCUCUGAUCUCUUGGCUCCUCGGCCUGGCGCUGACACUGUCAGAGCUGUGCCUCGGGACCUCUCAGAGGCCUUGGAAUCCCAUCUCUGUUUUUAAGCGUCCGAUCGGGUGUCUUUAGAGGUCUUGUUCUGAGCUGUGUCCACAGCCGUGCGCCGCAAGGAUCCAUUGUAGCGGGCUAGGACUUGUCCGAAUGCAAGGACAGGUAGAGAAUUGUGGCCGUAGGAUUCUCGGCCAUCCGUAUUUGCGCUUCUCGGGAUAAGUCAUCGUGUCAGCAUCUUCUUUCUUCAGGGCUGCCUCGGCCUUAUCAGCUCGCCAUCAUUCUCACCUGGGUCAUCUUGUGCCGCAUUCUCUCGGUCCUUGCGGCCAUUCUUCUGGCCCGGAGUUUUGUCUCCCUGUUGUGUCCCCUGGUCUGUUGUCUUGUGUGUCACGGGUGUCUGGGUGUAUUUGGGUCGGAGCUGCUCUGCCCUGCUGCAGAGGCUGGCCUAUGGUCAGCUGCCAUGGGAGAGGCUUCAUAUUAAACCAACUGCUGAAUGAUUUAAUUAGUCUGGUACCUACGGCUUCUGAUCAUUUGCUUUGUACAAAUGCAUUUCAACAGUUUGCUGUGCUGUAAGCAUCUCAUAGCUGCUACUCUUGAGAACCUUGUUUUAGAAAUUAGUUAAAAGGCAUCUUUCCAGUUUAAAGCCUAGGCUCUGUCCAAGCCUUGACUUUACCUGGAUAGAGAAUUUACCAAUAAACCCAGAAGUUUUCUGCA